GAUGAACGCUGGCGGCGUGCCUAAUACAUGCAAGUCGAGCGAACAGACGAGGAGCUUGCUCCUCUGACGUUAGCGGCGGACGGGUGAGUAACACGUGGAUAACCUACCUAUAAGACUGGGAUAACUUCGGGAAACCGGAGCUAAUACCGGAUAACAUGUUGAACCGCAUGGUUCAACAGUGAAAGACGGUCUUGCUGUCACUUAUAGAUGGAUCCGCGCCGCAUUAGCUAGUUGGUAAGGUAACGGCUUACCAAGGCAACGAUGCGUAGCCGACCUGAGAGGGUGAUCGGCCACACUGGAACUGAGACACGGUCCAGACUCCUACGGGAGGCAGCAGUAGGGAAUCUUCCGCAAUGGGCGAAAUCCUGACGGAGCAACGCCGCGUGAGCGAAGAAGGUCUUCGGAUCGUAAAACUCUGUUAUUAGGGAAGAACAAAUGUGUAAGUAACUAUGCACGUCUUGACGGUACCUAAUCAGAAAGCCACGGCUAACUACGUG
rnacentral:rRNA from 1 species